AUUGAACGCUGGCGGCAUGCCUAACACAUGCAAGUCGAGCGGAUGAAGGGAGCUUGCGCCCCUAUUCAGCGGCGGACGGGUGAGUAAUGCCUAGGAAUCUGCCUGGUAGAGGGGGAUAACGUCCGGAAACGGGCGCUAAUACCGCAUACGACCUGAUGGAGAAAGUGGUGGAUCUUUGGACCUCACGCUAUCAGAUGAGCCUAGUUCGGAUUAGCUAGUCGGUGUGGUAAGUACCUACCAAGGCGACGAUCCGAAACUGGUCUGAGAGGAUGAUCAGUCACACUGGAACUGAGACACGGUCCAGACUCCUACGGGAGGCAGCAGUGGGGAAUAUUGGACAAUGGGCGAAAGCCUGAUCCAGCCAUGCCGCGUGUGUGAAGAAGGUCUUCGGAUUGUAAAGCACUUUAAGUUGGGAGGAAGGGCAGUAAGUUAAUACAUUGCUGUUUUGACGUUACCAAAAGAAUAAGCACCGGCUAACUUCGUG
rnacentral:rRNA from 1 species